AUUGAACGCUGGCGGCAGGCCUAACACAUGCAAGUCGAGCGGUAGAGAGAAGCUUGCUUCUCUUGAGAGCGGCGGACGGGUGAGUAAUGCCUAGGAAUCUGCCUGGUAGUGGGGGAUAACGUUCGGAAACGGACGCUAAUACCGCAUACGUCCUACGGGAGAAAGCAGGGGACCUUCGGGCCUUGCGCUAUCAGAUGAGCCUAGGUCGGAUUAGCUAGUUGGUGAGGUAAUAGCUCACCAAGGCGACGAUCCGUAACUGGCCUGAGAGGAUGAUCAGUCACACUGGAACUGAGACACGGUCCAGACUCCUACGGGAGGCAGCAGUGGGGAAUAUUGGACAAUGGGCGAAAGCCUGAUCCAGCCAUGCCGCGUGUGUGAAGAAGGUCUUCGGAUUGUAAAGCACUUUAAGUUGGGAGGAAGGGUUGUAGAUUAAUACUUUGCAAUUUUGACGUUACCGACAGAAUAAGCACCGGCUAACUCUGUGCCAGCAGCCGCGGUAAUACAGAGGGUGCAAGCGUUAAUCGGAAUUACUGGGCGUAAAGCGCGCGUAUGUGGUUUGUUAAGUUUGAUGUGAAAUCCCCGGGCUCAAGCUGGGAACUGCAUUUAAAACAGAUAGGCGAGAGUAUGGUAGAGGGUGGUGGAAUUUUCUGAGUAACGACGAAAUGCUUAGAUAUAUAGAUCGCACACCCCCCCCUACACAAAAAUUUGUUCUUACUGCGCCCGAGUUUCCAGUUCACCGCACAGCCAGAAUAAUAUAUACUAAAAUACGAGGGCGACUCUUCGUGGUGGGCCGGCCGGGGGACCCCCCCUCCACAGUGGGGAUCCGGUAAUGACUUUUUACUAUCUAUCUAUAAAAAAUAAA
rnacentral:rRNA from 1 species